CUACGGCCACAUCGCGUUGAAACACUCAUUCUUGUCUGAUCACUGAAGUUAAGCAAUAUUGAGCCUGGUCAAUACCUAGGUGGGUGACCACUUUGGAAUACCAGGUACUGUAA